rnacentral:rRNA from 1 species
AGUGAACGCUGGCGGUAUGCCUAACACAUGCAAGUCGAACGGCAGCACAGUAAGAGCUUGCUCUUACGGGUGGCGAGUGGCGGACGGGUGAGGAGUACAUCGGUAUCUACUUUUUCGUGGGGGAUAACGUGGGGCAACUUACGCUAAUACCGCAUACGACCUACGGGUUAAAGCAGGGGAUCUUCGGACCUUUCGCGAUUGAAUGAGCCGAUGUCGGAUUAGCUAGUUGGCGGGGUAACGGCCCACCAAGGCGACGAUCCGUAGCUGGUCUGAGAGGAUGAUCAGCCACACUGGAACUGAGACACGGUCCAGACUCCUACGGGAGGCAGCAGUGGGGAAUAUUCGACAAUGGGCGCAAGCCUGACCCAGCCAUACCGCGUGGGUGAAGAAGGCCUUCGGGUUGUAAAGCCCUUUUGUUGGGAAAGAAAAGCAGUAGGUUAAUACCCCGCUGUUCUGACGGUACCCAAAGAAUAAGCACCGGCUAACUUCGUG